UAGAAUAUGGCAUGAAUAAAAAGAGAAUUUUUCUUGGACUAUGUUCAUUGGAAUAGCAAAUAUUUAGUAAUACUUUUAUCCCCCAUCCUACCCCUCCAAAAAAAGCAUGGAAGGUUAAGGGAAAAGGGGGGUGGGGGGAUAGUAAAUGGAAACAUACCUUAUUUCUGCACUAAAGUUUUUGAUGCAAAACAUCUCCCAAUAGUAGUGGAGGCACUGAAAGAAGGCGCUUCCUUUCAUGCAGUCAGCUCAUGUCAAAUUCACUUGAUUUUGUGUCCGUGGUGCUGAUGCUGGAUCCUGAUGAAUAAAAAUGUAUUAUCUUCACAUGAAGUAAUAUGGGAUUUAGGAAUUAUUUGUCUGAAGUGGCAUGGGGGACUUGGUCUAUAGAUUCAAGAUUUGGUUCAGCAAUGAUUGAUCACUAGUGGAGUCUUUAUCUUCUGAAGACAUCCGUUUGAGAAAUAUCAACAAACUAGAAUCAUUUUAACCUUGGUACAGUGUGUGAAUUCUUUUGUAGUUGUCAUCUAUUUGUAACUUAUGCUGCCUUUGCAUUUCUUACUUGCACGCAUGACUGAAAUCAAUUAAGAAAUCCUGUGGAUAUACCUAGCAUUGAAGCUUGUUAUAGCCAUAUGAAAACUCUUGUUCUUUUCAAAACAUGGUCAGGAACCACUUUCUUGGCUCGUGGGUUCAGAUGUCGUAGUGGUUGAUCCUCCCCGGAAGGGGCUGGAUCUGUCUCUGCUGGAUACACUACGGUCUCUGUCAUCUUUGGAGCUCAAAGCCAAUCUUCCUGAAAGGUGUGGAACUUAGAUGGAUUCCUCACUUCUAAUUCUAAAUGUGCAAUCUCUAUUGGGUGGCAGAAACUAAAAAGUGAUAUGUUUGUGUGCUUACCCUUCAUUGGUUAUUCCAGUACCGGUGGGAAGGUAAAAAAUGAAAAAAGACCAUGGAUUCUGAGAGAGAGAGAAACUUCAGUGCAGGUUAAGAGCAGCACAGUACAAGAAGAAAGUCGGUCCUUGCCUGAAACUCUAAUUUAUAUAAGUUGUGGAUGGGAUAGUUUUAAAGAGGUGUGUUUACCCUUACUUCUCAUAGUUUAAAGAGCUGCUAAAUAAUAAAGAAAAAGUUUAAUCUUUAUUCAGUUGUUUGAUUUUUAGCUAGGCAAAAGUGUCACUGUCUGCUUGAGCUUCUAUUGCUGCCAUUUAACUUACAGGAUUGCAUGUCACUGCUCUCUUGUAAGGCCUGGUAUUUGGACAAAGCACAUGGCUUCAAUUUUUUCCCUGGAACACAAAGGUAUUCAUACCUCUCUCUCUCUCUCUCUCUCUCUCUCUCUCUCUCUCUCUCUCUCUCUAGCAUGUUAGAUAAGGAGGAUCGUAUAGAUUUGGACAAUACUAAAUAGGAAAAAGAAGCUAAAAAUCUUGUUCAUUAUAGUGUCCAAGCAUGUCCUGUACCAAAAAUGCACUUCAUGUGACCAAUGAAGCCAAGGCCUAGUUCAAGUAGCAAGACUGGAGCCUUCCCAGGUCAAUGGACUAGAUUCUAGCCUCCUUUUGUGGGGUGAAAUCCUUUAUCCCCCUUCUAAACCGGGGAGCCAAUAGAAGGUUUGAAUCGUCCCAUCUCCCAUGCCUUCUAGAAUUUGUGGGGUGCAAUCCUUUAUCCCCCUUCUUAAAAAAAAAAAAAAUGAGGAACUAAUAGAAGGUUUGAAUUGUCCCAUCUCCCAUGCCUCCUGAAACUUAUCCCUUAAUUUUAGUAGUUUGCCUUGUUUGUUGUACUUUUGAGUCAACCCUACCCAGUUGAGAAGAAGAGGGUCAGCCAAACUGCAAUCCACUUUGUACAUAUGCUGAGACCAAUCAAUCAUUUUAAAAUAGGAAAAGGAGCGGUGACCACUGAGGAUGGUCUAAUUAUUCAGUUUAUUGUGGGAUUGGGGUGCCUUGCGGGGUUUGCCACGAAGAGAAAGAUCCAUUCUCUGGGUUAUCUUACCAUGAGGAUUUUCUUUUCUGGAAAUAUGCUAUAUUCACAUGUUUGUGUUGCAUCAGCUAAUGACUCUGUUCUUUUAUUCAUUGGACUAAUUGUUUGGUUCCUAAUUUACCAAUCAAAUGCACUAUUAUUAAUGUAGCAUUGAGGUCCUGGCCGUGUUUAAAAGAGGCACUAAACCAAACAUCAAGAGAAGAAAAUCUGGAAAAAAGAAAAGGCCCUCUUGAGGUGCACUAUUUCAUCCUGUCGAGUAUUACGAGGGAUAAAAUGCUUCUCAUGAAAAGCCUAAAGAGAUGGUAUGGAGUAAAUGCACAACGAAAAGGAAGAAUAUCUAUUCAGUCACAUUUGAAUAGAAAGAAGUUCCAGACUGCAGUCUACACUGCCCUUAUGGAAAAAUAUUUUUUAUUUAGGCUGCUGGAUCUAACGAAAUAUAUAUACGAUAAACUGCACAUGUUUCAGAUAUUAUUUUGUAAUGAUGAACAUUUUAUGCACCCAUGGUUCCUUUUAUCCUUGUGAAAUUGGGACUAAGAGUAACAUUUUGUUAAAUUUAUUAAAAGCUUUUGCCAGAAGAAAAUGAACUUAUAGCACCUUAGCAAUUGAAUAG
rnacentral:lncRNA from 1 species